AUCUUACUUUGGCUCUUUUCUUCGUAUUGAUAUAAUCUAAAGUUUGAGAAAACAUGAUAAUGUAUAUAGCUUCCAUCUAUUCCACUAUAUUACAUCAACUUAACUACUUUAACAACCUCUCCUGAAUGUAGACGUUUAUGGACAAAAUAUAUGUUCUCUAGGAAAAUUCAUUGGUGCAAUUUUUGAUUAGCAGUAAAGCUAGCCUUUUAUUCUCCUUAUGAUAUUUCUCAAAUUUCAGGCAUUUAUUGAUGAAGACAUGGUGAAAGUUGCUUAAUUUCAUGGUACUGCAGCAAAAUUGAAGGGUAAAACUUGAGGUAAGAUUUUAACUAUAUAUUACUAUUUUUGUAAGUGUCUCACAUGGUUAGAACUAUGUAUCUCUAUCGAGAGCAAAGUUUUUUCAUCAUUUUCAUUUAUUAGUUUAACCGCCUAUAAUAAAUUGUGACAAUGAUUAUUUAACACCCAAUAUCGCUCAUGAUAAAAUCGCUGAAAAAGCCUUUGCAUAGAUUCGUUGGAUGUGUCUAUUUACUAUCGAUGUCUUAUAUUUUCUUAUUUUAAAAUUUUGACUCCACACUCCAAGCUUGACACAAUUGUAGCAUUUGUUUCAUUUUUCACAUUGAGGUAUUGUACUUUUAUUUUGUUUAGCCAUGUAAAGAAAUUAUAGAUUUCUCCCAAAUGUCGGUUGAUGUUGUCAAAUUUGAAAGCACAAAUUUCACUAUUAAAGGAUGAAAAAAAAUUAAAAUCAUUAGUUAGUUGUAAAUAUAUAUUUCACUUUCUCUAUAAAACCUUAAUUGAAUUAAUUGUAGAACAAAUAUGCACACGUUUCGUUUAAGAAAAUAUGGUUGCACUGUAGACUUCUAUCCUUUUUCUUAUGAUUCUGCCUAAGAAUUGAAACAAUUUUAAUUCUUUUCCUUGUGUUCUCCUUCACAACUAAUUUGUCUUCAAUUUUUUCUGAAGUUUCUUGUCCAGAUAUAUGUAAGGAAGAGACAUACGGAUAUGUUGUUUUUCUCAAGAUGUUGUGGUAAAGUGUAUAAUUUGUCCUUGUUCUUGAAUUAUAUUAUAUUUUUAUAUUAAAUUUGGUUAUCCACUUCAUGCACAUUAAAUAAAAGCAUCCAACUUGACUUACAUCUAAAUUUCACUUUCCCUCAAUUUAGAAACAUAUGUCCAUAGGCUAACUAUGUUCUUGAAGGAUUCUCUGUACUUUAUGACGACGUCUGUCCUUUCACAUUUUAAUUUAUUUUAUGUAUGACGAUGCAAAUUAACAUAAAUGUUAAUAGACUGUGAAAGGUGAACUAAAAUAAGGAUUAUUUUAGCUUAUAAACUAGAGACAUGACAUAUUUGACUAUUUUUAAGAAUAUUCUCAAAAAGAUGGAGCUAAAUGGAUUGUUCUUUAAUCACAAUGCAUACUUUGUUUACUCGAAUAGAUAUACAAAAUUGGGUUACUUGGAGAAGUUCUCUUAUGUAAGGAAAUGUUUGAGAGUGGUAUGUGUCUGAUAUGGUUGCAUACUUAACAUUUAUUUAAUACAUUUUUUAAAGUUGGAAUGCUAAAUAUUUCGAUAUUAUGAAACAUUCACAGAUUUGAUGUUUUUACGAACUACGUGGUAUAUAUAUAUCGUGAGUAUUAUAUUAUUUUGUUAUAAUUUUCAUUCGGUUACUAUUUGCUAUUUUUUUUUUUAUUAUUUCUUUUACUUCCUUUGGUGUGGUUGUCUGUUCUAUCAAAAAUAAUUUUUCUAUCUCUAAAAUAGGAAUAUAAUUUGUGUACAUUCUGCCCUUCUCAACUUGUUGCACACAUAGUAUAUUAUUAUUGUAACAAGACAUCAUCCCACUCUAGCAUAAUAAAAUCCUAAAGUUUGGUUCUAUCGAUAGAUUACUUAGAAGCCAUAGUUUAUUUGUAUUAAUUUUAAUUUCUAACCACAAAUUAUACUCCAAAUAUGUGGAAUUCAUAUGCUAACUUCAGAGAAUUAGUACUUUUUUUUCCCUUUUUAUGCCAAUUAGAUAAAAAUAUACUAUUCGAAAUUCAACACCAAACGAAAGCCUAUAUACUAUGAGUUCCGCACAUCAAACGAAAAAUCCAAAAAAAAAAUGAUGUAUGCUUACAACAAUAUUCAAUAUUUUGAGAUAUUUAUAGUAUUAGACUUAAUCAUGUUAACGUGACACACAUGUGAGAUGCACGUAUACUAAAUUAGUAUAUUGUAAAAGUGAAAAACUACUGAAUUAAAAAAUAAAUUAUGAAUACAUCCUUCAAAUAUUAAUUGACUUAAUUAUCCCUUGUCCUAAACCUAAACACUACAUAUACCACUAACUAUAGCCCUCCAAAUUCUCAUACCCAAAACUCCUCAAUACUUGGUUGCCUUUAUAUCUAGCCGUUCUUCCCUCAACUUCUAACAACCAUAACCCCCAAAUAAUGGCUGCAUUAACACUUAGAAAUAACCCACCUAAUUCCAAAAACCAAAACUCUCCAUUUCAUGGCUCCAAUAAUAUGGAAUAGUGCUAACAAUCGUGCACAACAAUACAGAAACGUCCAAAACAAUAGAGAGGUACGGUAUUAUUCUCUUCGUUUCUUUUUAGUUGAUACUCUUAUUAAAAAUAUUUAUUUUAAUUUAGUUGUUCCAUUUAAGAAAUCAAGAGAAAUUUAUUAUGUUUUUUCAAUACUACUCCUAACGUUAAAUGACUAACAAAGUGUAUAUACUCAAAUUUAUAUUUUCAAAGUAUAACUAACAAGACUAAAUUGAUAAAAUAAGCUCCUAAUAAAUAUUGGUUAAAUUACACAAAUCCCAAACUUAGGAGACUAUAUUCCCCAAUAUCCCUUACUGUUUAAAAAUUACAUUAAAUCCUGAUUUUUAACUUUACUCUUGAUACAUAUCAACAAAACUCCACAUCCUAUUUUUACUCCACCAUUAAUUCAUGCAAGAUAUUUUUUUUUUCAAAAAUUACCUUCCCUAAAAUCUCUCCCAAGUUAUACACAUUUUUUUUUUUCACAAUUUCCUCUCCUAAAAUCUCUCUCAUUUUUUUUUAAAUCGAUUGAUACAUAUAUAAAUUUAUUUAGUUAUUCAUACAUGUUUAAGUUAAUAUUAAUAUGAAAUUUGUCAGUGAUACAUAUUUUUUUGUUAAUCCGAUUGAUACAUAUAUAAAAAUAUUAAUUUUUUGGAUACAUUUUCAUAGUGUAACGGUGAUUCAUAUGAACGAUACUUUUGUUAUCAGUAUAUGGUGAUAUAUUUGUUGACAGUGUAUGAGUGAUGCAUUUUGCUGUUAGAUUAUUGGUGCUAUAUUUGUAUUAACAAUGUAUGAGUGAUACAUUUACGGUCAAAUUAUUGGUGAUACAUACAUCUAUUUCAACUAUAAAAAUGUAUCACUAAUAUAACAGAUAACGUCGUUUUCUUCCUCUGUCGUAUAAUCAUUAGUAAUAUUGAAAAUCCUCCUAAGAGCUUUGAUCGAUUUGUUCUUAAUUUUACCAGUAAUUGUCUGGCACAACAAAGUCAUUAACCCUGGAAUGUGAAGGUAAUUCGCAGCGAAUACAAGUUGCGACAUUAUUUUGAAGCUAAUUUUCACGAAUUCCUUUUCAAAUUCUUCAAGUUGUUGUUUGUUAGUAACAUCUUCUUCAAUUGAAUGAUGAAUCAUGUAGUCGAAGAUUUUGAUUAGGACUUUGGAUUCUACAUUUAAGAGAGGGAUUACUGUAUAUCCGACUCCCACCAUGUUUUUGAUUAUACCAGAUUGAAUAGAGAUGGAUUCUUCAACUUGGAAUUCAUCGUCUUCUGAGAAUUUCAAUGUCAGGAUUUUUCCUUGCGACGGUGCUGAUGAUAAUGAGGCUUCAUCGGCGGUGGAUUUCAAGGUCGGAAUGGUCACUGACGGCGGUGCUGAUGAUGAUGAAGCCGCAUUAAUGGCGGAUUGCAGCAGUGCAGAUGAAGAUGAAACUUUUACCAAAUGUAUUACACGGAAGAAGGAAGAAACUCAAUUUAUUCGCUUGAAAUUUGAAAGUUGAUUGGGGGAAUUGCUGAUUUUUUUGAAUCUCAUUAAUUUAUUGUGUAACUGAUUGUACGAGAUUUGCUCCACAGAAUAAAAGAGACUCUGUUACUUCCUUAAAUAAACAUCUAGUCAGUUUUAAAUGUAUCACUUUUUUAUAUAUAUCACCUUAUAACAUAUGUAUCAUGAUUUUAAAAAAUCAGAAUAAGAUGUAAUUAAUCAAAUAGUUGGGAUAAAAUGUAAUAUCACUUAAAGAUUCAGAAAUUUAUGUAAGUUACCCGUAAAUAUUUUCU
rnacentral:lncRNA from 1 species